UCUCCGUAGGUGAACCUGCGGAGGGAUCAUUACUGAGUGAGGGCUCACGCCCGACCUCCAACCCUUUGUGAACACAUCUUGUUGCUUCGGGGGCGACCCUGCCGUUCGCGGCGUGGGGCCCCCGGAGGUCUCCAAACACUGCAUCUCUGCGUCGGAGUUUAAAACAAAUUAAACAAAACUUUCAACAACGGAUCUCUUGGUUCUGGCAUCGAUGAAGAACGCAGC
rnacentral:misc_RNA from 1 species